rnacentral:rRNA from 1 species
AGUGAACGCUGGCGGCAGGCCUAAUACAUGCAAGUCGAACGGCAGCACAGCAGAGCUUGCUCUGUGGGUGGCGAGUGGCGGACGGGUGAGGAAUACAUGGGAAUCUGCCCAGUCGUGGGGGAUAACGUAGGGAAACUUACGCUAAUACCGCAUGCGCCCUUCGGGGGAAAGCCGGGGACCUUCGGGCCUGGCGCGAUUGGAUGAGCCCAUGUCGGAUUAGCUAGUUGGCGGGGUAAAGGCCCACCAAGGCGACGAUCCGUAGCUGGUCUGAGAGGAUGAUCAGCCACACUGGAACUGAGACACGGUCCAGACUCCUACGGGAGGCAGCAGUAGGGAAUAUUGGACAAUGGGCGCAAGCCUGAUCCAGCCAUGCCGCGUGAGUGAAGAAGGCCUUCGGGUUGUAAAGCUCUUUUGUCCGGAAAGAAAUCCUGUCGGUUAAUACCUGGCGGGAUGACGGUACCGGAAGAAUAAGCACCGGCUAACUUCGUGCCAGCCGCCGCAGUAACAC